CCCACCAUGCCUCUCAUCGAUGCACACUUUGGUGGGU
rnacentral:sRNA from 1 species